GGCGCGCUCGGGCGCCGCAUCAGGCGGCGGAAGCGAGGUGGGGAGGCGGCGCUGCGCUCCAAGGAUGCAACAACGAGGCGUGGAGGCGGCGGUGCCCUCGGGCGCCGCAUCAGGCGGCGACAUCGAGGCGGGGAGGCGGCGCUGUGCUCCGAGGAUGCAGCAGCGAGGCGUCGAGGAGGCGCUGUGCUCGGGUGCCGCAUCAGGCGGCGGCAGCGAGGCAGGAGGCGCACGGGGAGAUGAAGGAGGAGAAAAUGGAGAGUCGGCCGGGGCACGGACCACAGCGGCGCAAGCUUGCAGGGGGCGAGAGAUCGAGGAAGAGGCGGGAGUCGGGUCAAUCGAUCUGUCGCACGACGGAUGCUGCACUCCCUUUUCCAUCUAGCAACGGGCCGCAGAGGGAGGUGGAAGAGGAGCCACAACCUACGAGCAGGAUGCUGCCGCCUAAUACGCAUCUGACCAUGAGCUGGAGGAUAAGAGAAGCGCAUCUCUGAAAUUCACAGUUUUAAACCCAAAGAGAUACAUCUAGACAAUGCUCGCAUGAGUGGUUCCAGUGUCAUAUACGCCAACAUGGCAGUUGGAGAUUUGGUAUCGGAUGCUGCUCCAAGAACGAGGGGCCAAGGUGCUGAACUAACAGCAGGGGGAGGAUGAUUCUUCAGGUAACAACAUAGUCCGUCGACUAGAGAAUUAAGUUAACUGUUUGCUUUGCUUGAAGCUCCAAAUUGUAGUUAUUUUAUUCGUUCACUGAUUUGGUAUAAUCUUAAUCUAGGAGGAUUAUCACUGUAUGAUAUGAGAUACUGAUGUUUAGCAAUGAUAAAAGUCUGACGUUGAAUGGUUCUUUUCGGAAGUACAGUUGUAAGAUAUAUGAUUCUAGCUUCGACUUUAACUGGACAGUACUAAUUGGACAUAUAAUUGAUGAUUUAUGCACAACAAGAUAUUCUGCUGCUUUUAGUUCUUCAAUCAGAUUCAUCUAGCCCUUUGUUGACUUUCUAAUUGUUCCACCCUCUACCUCUGAAACUCAGAAAUCAGAGAAAGGUCAUUGGCAAUUUGGCAUAUCCCUGUCACUGGCGAAGGUUUGCUAGAGAGGAAGAGGACCAAUAUUAUUUUUUCUAUUGUUGGGGGCAUACAUAAUACAUAUAGAUAAAAUUGGACCAUUUAUAACAGAGAUUUCUUGCCAAAAAUAUUAACUCUGUCCAGCAGUGGGCAUUGUCAAGGUAAUAAAAGGAAUUUGCUGAACCUAAUUGAAUGAAAGAGGGAUGGCUAAUCUGAUUGAGAACCUUCUGUAACUGAAUAGACUUACGAACGAUCAACAAUAGUAAAUAGUUCCAAAUUAACAGACGUUGUUUGAUUAAAAUACUGAUUUAAGGAUUUCGCGAAUCUAUAAUUCUCUACAUAAUCAGUUAGUGUAUUUUUUAUCACCGGGUUAUCCUAGACCACUUGGGGACAGUAUCAUCAAUUUCUUGCAUACUGCAAUGCAAGUUUUAAAAGCCAGUUUCUUAUGUUUCCUAUUAUCUUUAUGUUCACCUAACUGCCAAGAAUCAUAAAGGAUGCACCUAAGGAGGUAUAUUUUGUUUUAUGCAUUUUUUAAGUGUACUUAUGCUGCAACUGAUUAACAAAACAUUGUUCAACCUUCUAUGAGUCUGCCUAGGGAGCUGCACAGAUUUGGAACAACUUCCAAAACAUGCACCAAGCAUUUUGGUCAGGUACCACUAAGCUGCUAGAGCAAGAUAGCUGGGAUGUCAAGUCCCUAGGGCAAUGGUAAAUCUCAAAUUGCCUGAUGUUCGAUGGGAAGCAUCAGACAAUACCAAUGUCCAGUGUAAGAUCUGAUUGUGCAGGUGGUCAAGCCAAGAUAAGUGUGCGUGCAUCACCGUUUAGUCGAGAUUUAGAAAAAGAUACUAUGACUAAUCCAUACAGUGGAUAUGCGCCAAUGCUCAAAUUUUAAAAAUGAAGGAUUCAACUUUUUUGGAUUAUUAUUAUUUGUGAACUCGCGAGUAUGCCUAGCAAUCGUAAAAAAAAUAUAUAGUUCGACUUAGUGGUAGGUUCUGCAGUAGUCUUGCCUUGAAGGUUUCGUUCAUAGUAAAAAUUGAUAUGUCUUUAUGAAGUAAUCUGAGCAUUUUGUUGGUUGCAGGUCAACUUUGUUCUCCAAUAUAGGUGGUGUACGUUUGUGCAAAAUGAUUAUGAAAGGACUUCUGGUAACUUUAUCUUUUGUCAAGGUUGUUUACUUGGUGGAGCAAACUUCCAUUUCCUCUGAACAGGUGAACAUGACAUGUGUGAUGGCUGUCAGCCCUAAUGAGCUUUAGACAUGUAUCUGAGGUUUCGUUGGCUGUAAACAAGUAGGGUCAACGAGUCGAGCAGAUCCUGGACCAUCACAUGAACACAUGAAACAGGUCGAUACCGGCAGCUUUUGGUAACCAUUCUAAGCUCUAGCACCUUGAUGCAAGCCAGAAUAGCCUCACCAGAUCAACAUUCCCGGGAAUAACAGAAUUGGUGAACCAGUUGACACUUGAUCUUAACUAAUCAGUUAAUUAAACCCUGAAUCUGAAUGAAGGGCUCCUUGAUUAAUUUGCUCACAAGUAGUCUAAUGAUUCAGAGGUUUAGACUUUAGUGUUUUUGGAUUAUUACGGGCAGCAACCCUGCUUUUGAGCACACCCAAACAAAUUGAAUCAGGGUCUCUGCUUUUGGUUGUUCAAGUUUGUGGUAAAUCAUUAUGAACAGUUGUGUUUCCGGUGGCACCUAAAUUAUUGGUAGAUC